rnacentral:rRNA from 1 species
GUAAUAGUUAUGUUCUUGAAACUUAAAAAAUUUGGCGGUAUUUUAGUCUAUUCAGAGGAACUUGUCCUAUAAUUGAUAAUCCACGUUGGACCUUACUUAAAUUUGUAAUCAGUUUAUAUACCGUCGUUAUCAGAAUAUUUUAAAAGAAUAAUAAUUUUCUUAAAUUUAUAAAUGAUUUUAUUUCAGAUCAAGGUGUAGCUUAUAUUUAAGUAGAGAUGAGUUACAUUAAAUAUAUUUAUAUGAAUGUAGAUAUGAAAAAUUUAUUGAAAGUGGAUUUGAAAGUAAAUUUAUAAAGAU